rnacentral:lncRNA from 1 species
GAGCUGGGAGCCUGUUGGCAGGUCCCUCUUUUUAUUUUCGCUGAGAGCUUUCUUUUACUAAAUGCCACCAUCCUUACCUUUCAAGGUGUCUGCGUGCCUAAUUUUUCCUGGUUGUUAGACAAGAACCCGGAUUUUAGUUGAACUCUGGAGCAAAAAUCCUGCAUCAUUUGUAGGUGGGUGUCAUUGUGACUGGCUGCUACCUCCCCAUGAGUCUUCUAAAAUAAAACCUGCAAAUUCACAUCUUCCCCAUGCUUCCAGAGAAUGCAUAUUCUUCCUUUGAAAAAAGAAAACCAGGUAGUCGUACAGUGUCCAGAAGGCAAAAGGACAAGUAUGCACUGCCCUACUUACCUACUUUCCACACUGCUGCACAGGAAAAUCUGACAGAGGACAAUAACAAACAUCUCACCAGCUCAUGCGUUCUUUUUUGAUCCUAAUUCCGAGAGACUCACCAAAGACAUGAAGAGAAAACAAACAAUACUUUUCUUGGAAAUAUUGUAAUUGCUGGUACAUUUGUUGUUCUGGCAUAAAGUAGAAAUUGUCAGGUAAACAUUGCUUCCUUUUGGAUCAAAAAGAAAUUUAACCAAAUAAAUGCAAGAGGUAUGAGGGAAGAUAAUGGGAAAUAAAUGAGAUUUGAGAAAUCA